GGAACCCGGCGGGUCUAGUAUAGCAUUAUACAGCGAAACUGCGAAUGGCUCAUUAUAUAAGUUAUCGUUUAUUUGAUAGUACCUUACUACUUGGAUAACCGUGGUAAUUCUAGAGCUAAUACAUGCUAAAAAUCCCGACUUCGGAAGGGAUGUAUUUAUUAGAUUAAAAACCAAUGCCCUCCGGGGCUCACUGGUGAUUCAUGAUAACUUCUCGAAUCGCAUGGCCUUGCGCCGGCGAUGGUUCAUUCAAAUUUCUUCCCUAUCAACUUUCGAUGUUUGGGUAUUGGCCAAACAUGGUUGCAACGGGUAACGGAGGGUUAGGGCUCGACCCCGGAGAAGGAGCCUGAGAAACGGCUACUACAUCCAAGGAAGGCAGCAGGCGCGCAAAUUACCCAAUCCCGACUCGGGGAGGUAGUGACAAUAAAUACUGAUACAGGGCUCUUUUGGGUCUUGUAAUUGGAAUGAGUACAAUUUAAAUCCCUUAACGAGGAACAAUUGGAGGGCAAGUCUGGUGCCAGCAGCCGCGGUAAUUCCAGCUCCAAUAGCGUAUAUUAAAGUUGUUGUGGUUAAAAAGCUCGUAGUUGAACCUUGGGCCUGGCUGGCCGGUCCGCCUCACCGCGUGUACUGGUCCGGCCGGGCCUUUCCCUCUGUGGAACCCCAUGCCCUUCACUGGGUGUGGCGGGGAAACAGGACUUUUACUGUGAAAAAAUUAGAGUGCUCCAGGCAGGCCUAUGCUCGAAUACAUUAGCAUGGAAUAAUAGAAUAGGACGUGUGGUUCUAUUUUGUUGGUUUCUAGGACCGCCGUAAUGAUUAAUAGGGACAGUCGGGGGCAUCAGUAUUCAAUUGUCAGAGGUGAAAUUCUUGGAUUUAUUGAAGACUAACUACUGCGAAAGCAUUUGCCAAGGGAUGUUUUCAUUAAUCAGGAACGAAAGUUAGGGGAUCGAAGACGAUCAGAUACCGUCGUAGUCUUAACCAUAAACUAUGCCGACUAGGGAUCGGACGAUGUUAUAUUUUGACUUCGUUCGGCACCUUACGAGAAAUCAAAGUGCUUGGGCUCCAGGGGGAGUAUGGUCGCAAGGCUGAAACUUAAAGAAAUUGACGGAAGGGCACCACCAGGGGUGGAGCCUGCGGCUUAAUUUGACUCAACACGGGGAAACUCACCAGGUCCAGACACAAUGAGGAUUGACAGAUUGAGAGCUCUUUCUUGAUUUUGUGGGUGGUGGUGCAUGGCCGUUCUUAGUUGGUGGAGUGAUUUGUCUGCUUAAUUGCGAUAACGAACGAGACCUUAACCUGCUAAAUAGCCCGUAUUGCUUUGGCAGUACGCUGGCUUCUUAGAGGGACUAUCGCUCAAGCCGAGAUU
rnacentral:rRNA from 1 species